AAUGGGCGCAAGCCUGAUCCAGCCAUGCCGCGUGGGUGAAGAAGGCCUUCGGGUUGUAAAGCCCUUUAGGUGGGGAGGAAGGCAUUCAUGCUAAUACCAUGGAUGAUUGACGUUACCCACAGAAUAAGCACCGGCUAACUCCGUGCCAGCAGCCGCGGUAAUACGGAGGGUGCAAGCGUUAAUCGGAAUUACUGGGCGUAAAGCGCACGUAGGCGGUUUGACAAGUGGGAUGUGAAAGCCCUGGGCUCAACCUGGGAACUGCAUCCCAAACUGUCAGGCUGGAGUAUGGUAGAGGGGGGCGGAAUUCCCGGUGUAGCGGUGAAAUGCGUAGAGAUCGGGAGGAACAUCAGUGGCGAAGGCGGCCCCCUGGACUGAUACUGACGCUGAGGUGCGAAAGCGUGGGGAUCAAA
rnacentral:rRNA from 1 species